CCUACGGGAGACUGCAGUAGGGAAUCUUUCACAAUGGGCGAAAGCCUGAUGGAGCAACGCCGCGUGCAGGAUGAAGGCCUUCGGGUUGUAAACUGCUUUUAUAAGCGAGAAAUAUGAUGGUAACUUAUGAAUAAGGAUCGGCUAACUACGUGCCAGCAGCCGCGGUCAUACGUAGGAUCCGAGCAUUAUCCGGAGUGACUGGGUGUAAAGAGUUGCGUAGGUGGGAUAAUAAGUAGCUAGUGAAAUCUGGUGGCUCAACCACUCAGACUAUUAGCGAAACUGUUAAGCUCGAGACCGUUAGGGGUAACUGGAAUUUCUAGUGUAGGAGUGAAAUCCGUAGAUAUUAGAAGGAACACCAAUAGCGUAGGCAGGUUGCUGGGACGGUUCUGACACUAAGGCACGAAAGCGUAGGGAGCAAACGGGAUUAGAUACCCGUGUAGUC
rnacentral:rRNA from 1 species